UGCUGACGCGGGAAGGAGGCACGGGGCGGCACGUCAUCCAAGGUAGUACAAAUUUAUUUGUUCUAAAUUGUUUUGCUGUGUGAUAUGUGUGGAUUAGAGGAACGUCCUCUAAUUGACCGAUGUGCCUGACGCUGGAGAUCCAAAGGGUAUGGUUUUGUCAAGUUCUCUUUGGAAAGCGAAGCAGCCACGGCGUUGGAGAAAAUGAGUGGUGAGGUACAUAAAAACGUGCUUCGUUUAUCCGUUGGUACAGCAGAACAAACCAAGCUCUUGCGGGAUAAUAUGUCGUUCUUUUCCUUCCGCUGACAUGCUUCUGCCAAAUGAUGAUUGUUUCAGGUGCUUGAUGGAAGGAAUAUACGGGUGCAUUAUGCCUGAUGUUUCUGCUGCUUCUCCUGCUGCUAUAGAUGUGUAAGGCACUUAUUCGGAAUAUGUAAUGUUAGAUGUACGCAUGGAGCCUUGAACAUGUACUCUGUAUACCUGCAGAGAGAUUUAUGGUAACAACAGAGUAAUUUAUUUGGAA
rnacentral:lncRNA from 1 species